rnacentral:lncRNA from 1 species
UCCUUUAAAUAUAAGGGGUAAACUUUGUACUACUAAAGGCCCUUCUUAAAAAUCCGUCGUUUCGCGAUGCCGAAAAAAUUUCCAAUUGAUCAUCUCGACAAGUAUAAAGAUAUUGAAAAAAAAAAAAUUCAAGUGUCAAAAAUAGUACAUCUUGUAACACAUGAUCUAUAUUGUCUACUAUUAAGUAUUUAUAGAUCUCUUCACUUUUCGUUAAUAUUAGAUCUUUAAAUUUUAUAAUUAUAGGUAGAAACAAAUAUCUAGGUUAUUAUAUGAAUUUUUGGCACGAAAACUACAUCUUCGUAGUUUGGAGUUGCGUUUUACUUUGAAAUCGUCAAAAGUGAGGUGGUCCUUGUACAAACCGCACUUGUGCAAUUAGUGGUGUGUCGGGUAGGGCGCGUGUUCAUUGAAUUAUUUUUUUUUGCAAAUAUUAUACCAGGAAAUAUUUCAGGUUAACAGUUAACCAACCCUUGGAGACUCACUCACUUUGUUUAUAAUAUAUUGUGAAUUAUUAUCUAAAGUUUGAACGGGCCUUCACCUCCUCUACACGUAUAUCAUACGAGCCUAUCGCAGUUGAUGACUACCGAUGACAUUAUUUUUUGGGAAAAUGGCGUAGUCUUCCCACCUGGAAAUUGUGAUGUUUUUAGACCUUCGUGUCCAUGGAAAUCAAUAGAUUGGACCAAUGCGCUCUCCUCUCCUCUCCUCUCCUCUCCUUUCAACACAUAUACUUUAUAAAAAUUUCCUUCUCUUUGAGGGAACCAACCCCCUUCCUUUUCCCUUUUGCCUCCCCUGAUCUCUCUUCACACUUAUUUUCAUGGAAAAUUGUUUCAUGCGGGCUGGACCGCAUUUCUACAUAUGCGGUCCAGAAAAGUGUAAGGUGUUUCAUCUAAAAACAAUGAAAAUUAAUGGUCCAAAUGUUUUUUUAUUAGAAUUAUUAUUUCUAUUUUUUAAAAUUUAUUUAUUUAUUUAUAUUCAUGAUCUCGAUGUUAGAGAUUACAUGUCCAUAAAAAUUAAGUAUUAAAAUCCAUCUCAAAAAUACAUUUAUUAAGAGGCCCGCAUUUCUACCUAUAUGGGCUUGGCCGCAUAGAAACUGGGUCCUUUUUCAUGGAUGUAGUUUGUAUAAGGCUGAGGCCUUAAAUAAUUAAAGUAAGGU